CAAUAGCAUAUAUUAACGUUGUUGCAGUUGAAAAGCUCGUAGUUGAACUUUUGGUAGGAGCGACCUGGCCUUGGGCGCAUGCCCUUGUUUGCCGUGCGUCGUGUCUGGCCAUCCUUUUCCGCUUCGGCGGGAAUCCUUUACUGUGAGUAAACUGGAGUGCUCAAAACAAGACGUUUGUUUGGUACAUUAAAGCAUGGAAUAAUAAGAUAGGACCUGGUUACUAUUUUGUUGGUUUGCAUAGCUAGGUAAUGAUUAACAGGGACAGUUGGGGGUAUUCGUAUUUAAUUGUCAGAGGUGAAAUUCUUGGAUUUAUGAAAGACGAACGACUGCGAAAGCAUUUACCAAGGAUGUUUUCAUUAA
rnacentral:rRNA from 1 species